GACGAACGCUGGCGGCGUGCUUAACACAUGCAAGUCGAACGAAGAGCGAUGGAAGCUUGCUUCUAUCAAUCUUAGUGGCGAACGGGUGAGUAACGCGUAAUCAACCUGCCCUUCAGAGGGGGACAACAGUUGGAAACGACUGCUAAUACCGCAUACGAUCUAAUCUCGGCAUCGAGGAAAGAUGAAAGGUGGCCUCUAUUUAUAAGCUAUCACUGAAGGAGGGGAUUGCGUCUGAUUAGCUAGUUGGAGGGGUAACGGCCCACCAAGGCGAUGAUCAGUAGCCGGUCUGAGAGGAUGGACGGCCACAUUGGGACUGAGACACGGCCCAGACUCCUACGGGAGGCAGCAGUGGGGAAUCUUCCGCAAUGGACGAAAGUCUGACGGAGCAACGCCGCGUGAGUGAGGACGGCCUUCGGGUUGUAAAGCUCUGUUAAUCGGGACGAAAGGCCUUCUUGCGAACAGUUAGAAGGAUUGACGGUACCGGAAUAGAAAGCCACGGCUAACUACGUG
rnacentral:rRNA from 1 species